rnacentral:rRNA from 1 species
GGUGAACGCUGGCGGUAUGCCUAACACAUGCAAGUCGAACGACCACACGGUAAGAUCUUGCUCUUACCGUUAGCGACUGGCGGACGGGUGAGAAAUACAUCGGCAUCUACUUUUUCUUGGGGGACAACGUAGGAAAACUGACACUAAUACCUCAUAUAACCUACGGCUUAAUUCAGUAGAUCUUCGCACCUUUGCUGAUUGAUUUAGCCGAUGUCGGAUUAGCUAGUUGGCGGGGUAAAGGCCCACCAAGGCGACGAUCCGUAGCUGGUCUGAGAGGAUGAUCAGCCACACUGGAACUGAGACACGGUCCAGACUCCUACGGGAGGCAGCAGUGGGGAAUCUUGGACAAUGGGCGCAAGCCUGACCCAGCAACACCGCGUGGGUGAAGAAGGCCUUCGGGUUGUAAAGCUCUGUUGUUGGGAAAGAAAAGCAGCAGAUUAAUACACCGCCGUUCUGACGGUACCCAAAGAAUAAGCACCGGCUAACUUCGUG